UACGUAGGGUGCAAGCGUUGUCCGGAAUUAUUGGGCGUAAAGAGCUCGUAGGCGGUCUGUCACGUCGGCUGUGAAAUCCCGAGGCUCAACCUCGGGUCUGCAGUCGAUACGAGCAAACUAGAGUGUUGCAGGGGAGACUGGAAUUCCUGGUGUAGCGGUGAAAUGCGCAGAUAUCAGGAAGAACACCCGUGGCGAAGGCGGCUCUCUGGGACGGUACUGACGCUGAGACGCGAAAGCGUGGGGAGCGAACAGG
rnacentral:rRNA from 1 species